rnacentral:lncRNA from 1 species
CCAUGUCCCCUGGGUCCUUUGACUUCUCCCCUUAGGCUUAUGCUCAUAUCUUCUUUCUCCCACCAGGAGAAGCGGCUGAGGACGCGUUCCCCCUGACAGAGCCGGACAGGCAGCCUGGUGCCUGAGGGACACGGUCUUGUGGCUUCUACCAGUCGAUAGACGCAGCCGGGACUGAGCGUGCUACCCUGUCCAAAGAAGCCGCCAUCUCCUUGGAGGAAGAUGGAACUUGAAUUGGAGUUCUAAGUCAGAGCCUUCUAUUGACCAGCCAAAAGUUCCCUGGAUUGAAGGCCAGCGGAGGGAAAUCAUUGAUUCUCCAACAUCCCCUCGGAGGGGAAAGUAAAUUGGGAAAGGUAUUGUGUG